UGCGAAUGGCUCAUUAAAUCAGUUAUCGUUUACUUGAUAGACCCAUACUACUUGGAUAACCGUGGUAAUUCUAGAGCUAAUACAUGCGAAAAACCGCGACUUCGGAAGCGGUGUAUUUAUUAGAUUAAAGACCAAUGCCCUUCGGGGCUGACUGGUGAUUCAUGAUAACUUCACGAAUCGCACGGCCUUGCGCCGGCGAUGGCUCAUUCAAAUUUCUGCCCUAUCAACUUUCGACUUUAGUGUAGUGGACUAAAGUGGUUGCAACGGGUAACGGAGGGUUAGGGCUCGACCCCGGAGAAGGAGCCUGAGAGACGGCUACUACACCAAGGAAGGCAGCAGGCGCGCAAAUUACCCAAUCCCGACUCGGGGAGGUAGUGACAAUAAAUACUGAUACAGGGCUCUUUUGGGUCUUGUAAUUGGAAUGAGUACAAUUUAAAUCUCUUAACGAGGAACAAUUGGAGGGCAAGUCUGGUGGACAAAUCCAGUCCCGUGCUGGCGCCAGCAAGAGCGGGGGCCCCUGCGGCCUUCUUUCCCGCUAGUCGAGCACCCGUUCAUGACGGGAGGGUGCCGGCGAGACACCUGGAUCGGGGAGGCUAAGAGGCGCCGCCGGCGUCUUCGUUGAUCCGAGCAGAGCACCGAAGAGCGAUCUUCGGCUGCUGUGUAAGCGCGCAAAGUGUCGUCGCUCUCCCCCCCCCCGGGGGGAGGCGGCUUAAGGGACGUGCCAUCCGCCUCGAAAGAGGAUUUCCUAUCUCCAGCGCCCGUCACGCUAAGGAUAGGAAGCUGCCGGCUUGCACCGGCAGUGGGAGAUCAAUACGGCCAGCAGCCGCGGUAAUUCCAGCUCCAAUAGCGUAUAUUAAAGUUGUUGUGGUUAAAAAGCUCGUAGUUGAACCUGGGCCUCGCGCAGACCGGUCCGCCUCACCGCGUGCACUGGUCCUGCCGGGGCUUUCACUAGGGGAUUCGCAUGUCCUUCACUGGGCGUGUGCGGAACCUGGACUUUUACUGUGAAAAAAUUAGAGUGUUCAAAGCAGGCCUAUGCUCGAAUACAUUAGCAUGGAAUAAUAGAAUAGGACGUGUGGUUCUAUUUUGUUGGUUAUGGGACCGCCGUAAUGAUUAAUAGGGACAGUCGGGGGCAUCAGUAUUCAAUAGUCAGAGGUGAAAUUCUUGGAUUUAUUGAAGACUAACUACUGCGAAAGCAUUUGCCAAGGAUGUUUUCAUUAAUCAGGAACGAAAGUUAGGGGAUCGAAGACGAUCAGAUACCGUCGUAGUCUUAACCAUAAACUAUGCCGACUAGGGAUCGGGCGAUGUUACUUUUUGACUCGCUCGGCACCUUACGAGAAAUCAAAGUCU
rnacentral:rRNA from 1 species